UACGUAGGGUGCAAGCGGUGUCCGGAAUCAUUGGGCGUAAAGCGCGCGUAGGUGGCUUCGUCAGUCCGUUGUGAAAGUCAAAGGCUCAACCUUUGAAUGCCGAUGGAUACUGCGAAGCUAGAGUACGGAAGAGGCGAGUGGAAUUCCUGGUGUAGCGGUGGAAUGCGCAGAUAUCAGGAGGAACACCAAUAGCGAAGGCAGCUCGCUGGGACGUUACUGACACUAAGGCGCGAAAGCGUGGGGAGCGAACAGG
rnacentral:rRNA from 1 species